GAAAUGCGAUACUUGGUGUGAAUUACAGAAUCCCGUGAACCAUCGAGUCUUUGAACGCAAGUUGCGCCCGAAGCCUUCUGACCGAGGGCACGUCUGCCUGGGCGUCACGCAUCACGUCUCCCCCAACCCACCAAGCGUGGGAUGCGGGGGAGGAGCUGGCCUAAAUAAGGAGCCUCAGGCCACGGACUGCUGCGGCGAUUGGUGAAUAAUUAACUCUAUCCGUGCACUGCGUGGCCAUCGUGGACUCGCAGGACCCUGUGUUGUCCCCUCAUGCGGACAAACCGUUGCGACCCCAGGUCAGGCGGGGCUACCUGCUGAGUUUAA
rnacentral:misc_RNA from 1 species